UACGUAGGGGGCAAGCGUUGUCCGGAAUUAUUGGGCGUAAAGCGCGCGCAGGCGGCUUACUAAGUCUGGUGUGAAAGCCCACGGCUCAACCGUGGAGGGCCAUUGGAAACUGGUAGCUUGAGUGCAGGAGAGGAGAGCGGAAUUCCUGGUGUAGCGGUGAAAUGCGUAGAUAUCAGGAGGAACACCCGUGGCGAAGGCGGCUCUCUGGCCUGUAACUGACGCUGAGGCGCGAAAGCGUGGGGAGCAAACAGG
rnacentral:rRNA from 1 species